rnacentral:rRNA from 1 species
GAUGAACGCUGGCGGCGUGCCUAAUACAUGCAAGUCGAGCGAACGGACGAGAAGCUUGCUUCUCUGAUGUUAGCGGCGGACGGGUGAGUAACACGUGGAUAACCUACCUAUAAGACUGGGAUAACUUCGGGAAACCGGAGCUAAUAACGGAUAAUAUUUUGAACCGCAUGGUUCAAAAGUGAAAGACGGUCUUGCUGUCACUUAUAGAUGGAUCCGCGCUGCAUUAGCUAGUUGGUAAGGUAACGGCUUACCAAGGCAACGAUGCAUAGCCGACCUGAGAGGGUGAUCGGCCACACUGGAACUGAGACACGGUCCAGACUCCUACGGGAGGCAGCAGUAGGGAAUCUUGCACAAUGGGCGAAUGCCUGACGGAGCAACGCCGCGUGAGUGAUGAAGGUCUUCGGAUCGUAAAACUCUGUUAUUAGGGAAGAACAUAUGUGUAAGUACCUGUGCACAUCUUGACGGUACCUAAACAGAAAGCAACGGCUAACUACGUG